CGGCGCCGCUCCGCAGUCCGGGCCGCCCCGCACGGCACCGCCGACGGAACGGCACCGGGACGGAACCGCGGCACGACGGGAGCGGUGCUGAGCUCUGCGGUACCGCGGGGGGAGGGGGAGUGGGAUUUGGAGGGGGAGGAGUGAGUGCAGCCCCGGGACAGGAAAGGAACCCUGUGCGGCCAUAACCCACCUCCGUGUGGGGUGUGUGGUUGGGAAAUGGAUGUGGGAUUGGGGUUCGGAUGUGGGGUAUGGAAUUAGGGCUGUGGGAUUGGGAUGGGGAUUAUGGUGUGGGAUUGGAAGGUGGGGUAUAGGAAUUGGGGGUGUGGGGUUGGGUUGGGAUAAGGUCUGGGAUAUGGGAUUAGGGAUAUGGGAUUGGUAUGUGGGAUGUGGGAUUGGGAUGUGGGGUAUAGGAUUGGGGGUGUGGGAUUGGGAUUUGCAUUGGGCUGUGGGGCCGGGAAUGUGGGGUUGGGAUUGAGGUCAGGAUGUGGGAUGUAAAGAAAUGUGCCCUGUUCACAGGUGGGUCGUGUGGUGUUGUGGGGAAGCACUGCAGAUGGAAAGCUGCUGUGUGGAGCCCCACAGGAUGAGUUGCAGAGGCCCCUGAAGGAAAAGGAGAAGGAAGGGCAUUUGCAGAGGGAAAGGCUGUCCCGCUGGCCUUAGGUGUUGCUGAACGGGAGGGGUGGCCAAUGCUUUCUCUUUCCGCUGACUCACGGAUGGUGGCAAAUGCCUUCUGGGGGUGGUUCCAGCAGUGGGAAGAAAACAACUGGCAGCGGAGGGGUGAACCUCUUUGGGCUGCUGAGCUGUGUGCUGAACCAUAAGGAAGGUGGCUGUAAAGGUGUGCCGUGCAGAUGUCGUGUGCCCAGCAGUCGGGCCGAUGAAGAGCAACAAAUGAAGCGCCAGAUGUCUACAACUAUGGGAACUCUUAUACGUCACACAAAUGGGUAACCCUUCACACUUAUCGCUAACACAAAAUGCUAACCAUUCAGCACAGCUGGAAAAGGUAAAUCUGAAGCCUAAUGCCAAAGGGUAUCCCUUAAUCCUAAAGCCUGUCCCCAAAUGGGAAACCCUUAACUCGUAAUUCUAAUCCAAUAGGGCAACCAUGAAACCAAACCGAGAAGGGUACCCCGUAACUCUUAUCCCUUAAUCCAGCAUGGAGACCUUUACCCUUCCGUAACAGGCAUAACCCUUAACCCAAACUGCUAACACUGAAGCCUAACCCUGGUGAGAAGCUGUUAACACAAACCCCAAGCCGGUAGCCUGAAUGCUUCCCCCUACCCCUUUUAAAAGGGUAACCUUGAGAGCUUCCCCAAACGCAGAACGCUUGACACGUAACCCUUGAGCGCAAGCCAAGCUGGGAAGCCUUCCCCCUAAAGCGUAGCCCAAAAGGGGAACUCUCAGCUCUUAGCAAUCCCACUCACCGGUCAUACUUCACCAGAACCCCGAACGGGAUGAGGCUGAGCUUGUCUGCUGCCAGGGCUGCUCUGAGGCCCAGGGCAUGGCGAGCGGCUGUUUGGAGCGCAGCUCACAGCUGAGGUGCCUGGACCCAGCUGCCAGCUGUCCUUGGGGAGGGCCCUUUGUCGUCACGGAAACGCACUGUGACAGCAUAAAGGCUCCAGGGGCGC
ensembl:lncRNA